rnacentral:tRNA from 1 species
UGGCGCUUGGUGCAACAGGGGGCACGCUCUACGCGGAGUAGGGAGGCGGGGGUUCGAGUCCCCCAGCGCCAC